rnacentral:lncRNA from 1 species
ACACGAUGCAAAUCCUUUUUUUUAUGCAUUUACUCGUCGCACAGAAAAGAAAAAUCUGUCAGCGGCUUCUGCGAGCGACGCGCGUGAUCGCAAACGGCAUCCCAACACUCGGGAUAGACGAUUGAUGAGACGUCGAGCGACGCCUGCCUUGUUAGAUGGCGAGCAUGGCCUGCGUGACAAGAAAAGCCAGGCCGAGUCGAACAAAUGCCUUUGAUCAUGUCGGGAUAGGCCUCGAAAAGGUCGAUCGAGUGGAUAACGAUCGAGCGCUCAUCAGGCCGGCUUGCGGUAGUUGACAUCGCCUCGGCAGCCGCGGCAACGAGCGCGCCGUUGAUCAUACUCUGCGUGUGCUCGUCGAGGUCGCCUGGCAUUCCGUCGUUGAGCGCAGUCGCAGCGACCCUGUAAUCGAUGCGCACCGUCGUGCACCCGUCGUCAUACUCGCAAGUUUCUAUGUGAUCGGGCGCGUAGGUGCCGCGUGUGAGCGCGUGUACCAUGAGAGAGAACGGCGGACGCUGGCGCAUAAAGGACGAAAAGGAGACCAACUCGAGCCCAUGAUUGCUCACAAACGUCCCCGGAUUCGUGACGAUGAGCGAGUAGAUGGCGUAGCGCACGCACGCCUGCACAAACGGCCGACGCAGACGAGGGGCGCGCGCCAGCCCCGCCGCGCUGACGAGGUGGCCGUCACCGGGGACAACCGACGGAUCGUAUUCGUCGGCGUCGCAACGCGCAAAGGGCGCAAAGCGCGGGUCGACAUCGACGGUUCGAAAGAGAGGCAUACGGCACAGCGCAUCGAGGCGGGUGCAGCAACCGCGCCAGGACGCGACGGCCUUGAUCAGCGUCGUAGGUUCCGGCGACGACAGCGCCCACCACACGAUGCCUGCGAGUAUCUCGUCGGGCAGGUCCAAAAGGCCGCGACGCCAAGAACCUGCGGUGUCGUUGGUCGGCUCUGGCGCAGGCUGGCUCGCCCUUUUCCGAGACUGUCGCCGAGUCCGACGGCGCUUGCGGCUCUUGUCCGGAUCGUGUGCGAUGUGCGCGAUUGACAGAGAGGGGUCUGUGGUUUUUUGUGCGAGCACCACGGCGUCCAUGUCCCAGGUCGAUCGUGCAGUGGGACAGGUUUGUUUUUAUGACCUUUUUUUAUUUGCGCCGCGGCAAGGGGUGUCGCUCUGCCUGCGUAGCACUGGGCAAUGGCCGGGCGUUGGCCGCCAUCUUGUGGCCAACCGGCGCGUACCCGUGUCGGGCACGGAAUCCAACCCCGCGCCCGCUCACAAACAAAGCACAAAUGGCGGGCAUGUUUCAAAAAUUACGUUAAAUGAAAAAAAAAUAAAGAUGCUAGGCCAACCACAACCCUGUUGGUUUCAGCCUCUGAGAGCAAGG